ensembl:lncRNA
CAGGUCCCAGGAUCAUCCGUGAAUCCGGAAGGUCAAAAGGUCAACCUUUCUGAUAUCGAUGGCUGAAUGAACCAAGCGGUGGAGAUACAGAUGUGAGCGUCCAUAAGCGGGCUAUUUACCCUCGGGCUAUUUUGUGGAGGGCUGUUUUGCCCAGGGUUGUUCUGGGUAGGGUUAGUGGCCUGUCCGGGACUGGAUUUUUUUUCCGAAUGAACUCAGCAGUGGAGAUACGGAUGUUGUAAUGUAUCAUUUUUUAUGAUAUUUAUUUAUUUAUUCCUGCCCUCAAUUAUUACUUAUAUAUUUCUCAUUAAUCAUUUAUUUAUUUAUUUUCUAGAGUGUCCAUAAGCGGGCUAUUUAGCCUCGGGCUAUUUUGUGGAGGGCUGUUUUGCCCAGGGUUGUUCUGGGUAGGGUUAGUGGCCUGUCCAGGACUGGUCAGUAUAAGGACAAUAAAGAGAGGGUUGAAAUGGUUAAGUUUAGGUACUGGUAGGGGUCGUGUGUCAGGGGGUGAAGCUGUCCAGGCAGUUGUGACGGGUAGGUGUUAGGUUUGUGGA